rnacentral:rRNA from 1 species
GGUGAACGCUGGCGGUAGGCCUAACACAUGCAAGUCGAACGGCAGCACAGUAAGAGCUUGCUCUUACGGGUGGCGAGUGGCGGACGGGUGAGGAAUACAUCGGAAUCUACUUUUUCGUGGGGGAUAACGUAGGGAAACUUACGCUAAUACCGCAUACGACCUACGGGUGAAAGCAGGGGAUCUUCGGACCUUGCGCGAUUGAAUGAGCCGAUGUCGGAUUAGCUAGUUGGCGGGGUAAAGGCCCACCAAGGCGACGAUCCGUAGCUGGUCUGAGAGGAUGACCAGCCACACUGGAACUGGGACACGGUCCAGACCCCUACGGGAGGCAGCAGUGGGGAAUAUUGGACAAUGGGCGCAAGCCUGAUCCAGCCAUACCGCGUGGGUGAAGAAGGCCUUCGGGUUGUAAAGCCCUUUUUUUGGGAAAGAAAAGCAGCAGGUUAAUACCCCGCUGUUCUGACGGUACCCAAAGAAUAAGCACCGGCCAACUUCGU